rnacentral:rRNA from 1 species
UACGUAGGGUGCGAAGCGUUGUCCGGAAUUAUUGGCGUAAAGAGCUUGUAGGCGGUUUGUCGCGUCAUGCGUGUGAAAUUUCGGGGCUCAACCCCGAACUUGCAGUGGUACGGGCAGACUAGAGUGUGGUAGGGGAGACUGGAAUUCCUGGUGUAGCGGUGAAAUGCGCAGAUAUCAAGGAGGAACACCGAUGGCGAAGGCAGGUCUCUGGGCCACUACUGACGCUGAGAAGCGAAAGCAUGGGGAGCGAACAGG